CUCCAACGCCACUCCAGCCUUGAGGACCAUGAGGCUAUAUGGGUGAGCUAUUUCUUUUGGAGUAUGUCCAGAUGAUCUGGCAAAUGCACACUUGGCAUUAGCCACAGGGAAGCACAUUAAAAAAAAAAAACCAGAGGAGCAACAAAUAAAAUUAGGGCAGACUAUGGGCCUACCCUUCAUACAAAUCAGAACAUCUUUCCAAGUGGAAAACUUCAUGAAACUCGACUGCCUAGAUGCAAAUUAAUACAGUAACACCAAAAGAACCCUAAAGUCACAGCUGAUUGCUCUGAUGAACCUAUGACAGGCACUAGAAGAUUGCUUACUAAAGUCUGCAAGCAAAAUAAAGAAACAAUUUCUUACACCCA
rnacentral:lncRNA from 1 species